AUUGAACGCUGGCGGCAGGCCUAACACAUGCAAGUCGAACGGUAACAGGAAGAAGCUUGCUUCUUUGCUGACGAGUGGCGGACGGGUGAGUAAUGUCUGGGAAACUGCCUGAUGGAGGGGGAUAACUACUGGAAACGGUAGCUAAUACCGCAUAACGUCGCAAGACCAAAGAGGGGGACCUUCGGGCCUCUUGCCAUCGGAUGUGCCCAGAUGGGAUUAGCUAGUAGGUGGGGUAACGGCUCACCUAGGCGACGAUCCCUAGCUGGUCUGAGAGGAUGACCAGCCACACUGGAACUGAGACACGGUCCAGACUCCUACGGGAGGCAGCAGUGGGGAAUAUUGCACAAUGGGCGCAAGCCUGAUGCAGCCAUGCCGCGUGUAUGAAGAAGGCCUUCGGGUUGUAAAGUACUUUCAGCGGGGAGGAAGGGAGUAAAGUUAAUACCUUUGCUCAUUGACGUUACCCGCAGAAGAAGGACCGGCUAACUCCGUG
rnacentral:rRNA from 1 species